CGCAUAGCUACGCCGAAUUUCCUAAGGAAAACGGGGGAACCAUAAAGCUGUCAGCAUUGACAGCAUGGGGUGAAUUUUUAAAGCGGGAUUUAUCCUGCUGCAAAAUAGGGCUGCCUGUCCAGGCCCGAAUCCGACAGCUAACCUCGUAGGCAUCUGGAACAGGACUC
rnacentral:sRNA from 2 species